AGAGUUUGAUCAUGGCUCAGGACGAACGCUGGCGGCGCGCCUAACACAUGCMAGUCGAGCGAGAACCAGGACUUCGGUCCUGGGGACAGCGGCGAACGGGUGAGUAACACGUGGAUAACCUGCCCUCGGCACCGGAAUAGCCCGGGGAAACUCGGAUUAAUGCCGGAUAGCCCCACAGUCUCAAGGGACGGUGGGAAAAGGUAGCUUCSGCCUCUGGCCGAGGAUGGGUCCGCGGCGGAUUAGCUAGUUGGCGGGGUAACGGCCCACCAAGGCGACGAUCCGUAGCUGGUCUGAGAGGACGAACAGCCACACUGGGACUGAGACACGGCCCAGACUCCUACGGGAGGCAGCAGUGGGGAAUAUUGCGCUAAUGCGGGAAACCGUGACGCAGCGACGCCGCGUGAGGGAAGAAGGCCUUCGGGUUGUAAACCUCUUUCAGGAGGGAAGAAGCUACUCGGGUUAAUAGCCCAGAGGGUGACGGUACCUCCAGAAGAAGCCCCGGCUAACUACGUGCCAGCAGCCGCGGUAAUACA
rnacentral:rRNA from 1 species